rnacentral:sRNA from 1 species
GCGACCCCUUCCCAGCGCUCCUCGCGCUGUGCGCGGCGCGUCCUCUCGCCGGUGACCCGGUGUGCGUGGGGUCGAGGCGCCGGGCGGAGCGGCUCCGGGCCGAAACGCCAUGCGGAGGGGCGAGCGCAGGGACGCCGGGGGUCCGCGGCCCGAGUCCCCGGUGCCCGCGGGCAAGGCCUCGCUGGAGGAGCCGCCUGACGGGCCGUCUGCCGGCCAAGCCACCGGGCCGGGCGAGGGCCGCCGCAGCACCGAGUCCGAGGUCUACGACGACGGCACCAACACCUUCUUCUGGCGAGCCCACACCUUAACCGUGCUCUUCAUCCUCACCUGUACGCUUGGCUACGUGACGCUGCUGGAGGAAACACCUCAGGACACGGCCUACAACACCAAGAGAGGUAUUGUGGCCAGUAUUUUGGUUUUCUUAUGUUUUGGAGUCACACAAGCCAAAGACGGGCCAUUUUCCAGACCUCAUCCAGCUUACUGGAGGUUUUGGCUCUGCGUGAGUGUGGUCUACGAGCUGUUUCUCAUCUUUAUACUCUUCCAGGUAAGCUGUUUUUCUGGGUUGGAUACCUGGGAACUUAGGUGACAGUGUGGCCCCAGGCAUGGUGACAAAGGAGGCCUUGCCCACACGGCCCUUGAGUGAUGGGAGGAAGCAGGGCUAGACCCCCACAAAGUAGGCCGAGCUGCGGGGGGUCUCCAGGAGCAUCUGUGCGGCCCUUGAGUGAUGGGGGGCAGCAAAGCUAGACCUUCAAAACGUAGGCCGAGCCGCGGGGGGCCUCCAGGAGCAUCUGCUGGUGGGGCGCUGACUGUGGCCAUUUAGCAGGGCCACACUUAACG